rnacentral:piRNA from 1 species
AAACAGCCAAGAUCGUUACUAAG